rnacentral:rRNA from 1 species
CCUACGGGAGGCAGCAGUGGGGAAUAUUGCACAAUGGGGGAAACCCUGAUGCAGCGACGCCGCGUGAGUGAAGAAGUAAUUCGGUAUGUAAAGCUCUAUCAGCAGGGAAGAAAAUGACGGUACCUGAGUAAGAAGCCCCGGCUAACUACGUGCCAGCAGCCGCGGUAAUACGUAGGGGGCAAGCGUUAUCCGGAUUUACUGGGUGUAAAGGGAGCGUAGACGGCAGAGCAAGUCUGGAGUGAAAGGCCAGGGCUCAAACCCCGGACUGCUGUUGAAACUGUACGGCUGGAGUGCAGGAGAGGUAAGUGGAAUUCCUAGUGUAGCGGUGAAAUGCGUAGAUAUUAGGAGGAACACCAGUGGCGAAGGCGGCUUACUGGACUGUAACUGACGUUGAGGCUCGAAAGCGUGGGGAGCAAACAGGAUUAGAUACCCCUGUAGUC